UUUAAAUGAUGAUUACAAAGACAAGCAUAUGUCUGAAUUGCAUUGAUGUUUGCCUUUUUAUUCUGAUAUA